ensembl:lncRNA
GGCUUCUGGCAUGGGUCACAGCAAGUCUGGCAUGGAUCACAGCAAGGCUUCUGGCACGGGUCACAGCAGACGGUCUUCUGGCAUGGGUCACAGCAGACGGUCUUCUGGCACGGGUCACAGCAAACGGUCUUCUGGCACGGGUCACAGCAAGUCUGGCACGGGUCACAGCAGACGGUCUUCUGGCACGGGUCACAGCAAGUCUGGCACGGGUCACAGCAAGGCUUCUGGCACGGGUCACAGCAAACAGUCUUCUCACAGCAGACAGUCUUCUGACACGGGUCACAGCAGACUGUCUUCUGACAGGGGCUGCAGC